GACUAAGUCUCUUCUGUUUAUUGGCACAGGACAGCUCAUGUUGCAUCAAUCACUGCUUGGCACUGCACAGCCCUCAUCUCUGGCUCUGGAGACGUCUCUGAAAGCUCCUUUGGGCACCUUUACAUCAUCCUUUCAAAUGAUGCAGCCUGGAAAACAGGAGAGAGGUUGUGAUUUAUGCUGGUAUCAAGCUGCAGCUGUGCUCCUGUCUUCCUAUCUAAGUGGUGUCCCUGCUGGAACCAUCACAAGGAAGCAAUUUCCUCUCCCCUGGACAGCAGUGAUUAGAUGGGAUGAUCCUAACUGAUCAUCCCAUUGAUUUUUGCCUGCCAUUGAGAAAAACACUUCCUCUCCCUCCCGAGCCUUAAGCAGCUGUGAGCAUCCUGCUCAUCAACAAGCACUCUAGCAGAUGCAAAGCAUCCCUUGGAAACCGUGGUGAGAGCUGCACACAUGCUUAGGUGCUCCACUGAGCUGAGGCCUCUCUAAACAAGAAGGGACCAUUAGUUUUGGCUCAUUACCUUAACAGGGCUGACUAUUAAAUCCUGCCACUUUCUGUAAAACAAACUUAGUAACGACCCAUCUUUGCAGCUGUGACUAGUAAUAAAGCCAAUUAAUUUCCA